UAUAAUUCCUUAAAUUCCUAUUUUGAAGCUUAGGGUUCAGUCCCUUCCUCGUCACAUACACACCUGCCACUCUAUACUCCAUCUGUUUUACUUUAUUUAGAGCAAUAUCUGAAAUUCUUAUUUAUUUUUUUAUUUGUUCAUAGCCUGUCCCUCCUAAAUAGAAUAUACAUACCGUGAAAGCAGACAAUCUUAUCUGACACUGCUGUAUCCCCAGCACUUAGCACAGUGCCAGGCACAGAAAAAUUGCCCCUGCAAAUUGUGUUGAACAGUAGGAAGAAAGGAAGGAAAGAAGGAACAUGGCAUUUGCUUUCUGAGUUUUUUUCUUCAUAUUGCAUUUUGUUUGGAAAAAUGCUUAGUCCAUUUGGGCUUAUAUAACAAAAUACCAUCCACACUGGCUUAUAAAUACCAGAAAUUUAUUUCUCCGUUCUGGCGGCUAGGAAGUCCAAGAUCAAGGCACCAGGAAAUUCAAAGUCUGGUGGAGUCCCACUUCUUGGUUCAUGGGUAGCUGUGUGUUGUUGCUGUGUCCUCAUCUGCAGAAGGGGUUAGGGAGCUCUCUGGUGUCUCUUUUAUAAGGGCACUAACCAUAUACAUGAGAGUUUGACCCUCAUGACCUAGUCACCUCCCCAAAGCCCCACCUCUAAAUACCAAAACACUGGGAAUUAGGUUUCAACAUAGGAAUUUUGGGGAAAACAAAGUCUGUGGCAGAAAAAAAUUUAUUAACUAAUUGGAUACCCUUUCUCCCGUGUUACCCAGAAAAACAAGGUCAUUAUUCAUCCCUUUAUCUUUACAUCUUCUUUCUGUCCUGAUCUCAAAAGAAGAGGUGUUUCUCCCUUCCAAACUAGCACCAUUAUACUUGCACUCUUUACUUUAUAUUGAGGUCCAUGGGUAGGCAUGUGAGGGUCCAGAGGAAUGCAGAGUACAAAAUGCAGAGCGCCAGAGGCAAGAUACUGACAAAUACCCACAUGUGAGGACAGGACAAAGGAAGGGAAAAACCGAAAGGAGAACCUUCUUCAUUCUCAGUUACCCCUUGCCAUCUGGUUUCUGCCUAAACCACCAAAUUAAGACUCUCUUCCCCAAAAGUGCUUACUACACCUCCUAUGAUUUAAUUUCUAAGCUUUCAUCUCUCACUACUUCCGUCUAAACCGUCUGGCCCCUUGGAUAGUCAUUCCUCAAUGUUCAAUCAUGAGCCUCGCGUUUUGUUUUGUUUUUCUCCGUUCUUCUUUGAGGAAAAAAGUAUCACAGAGAAAUAAAUGUAUCUUCCCUUGCCCUCCUGCCACCCCAUCUCCAUGUCUUUCACAAGGAGGAGUUUCCUCAAAUAGUCCUGCCUCUUUCCACCUCCUGAUUGGUACGUUUUAUUUAAGGGACUGUGCUUGCAUCGCUUUCCUCCUCCUUUCCACUUUUUUUUUUUUUCCUACAGAAGAACCAACCUAUUCCUGGAACAGUUCCCUGUACCUCUUCUAAAUCACAAUCAUCACCUUGUGGCUGAACGGGUAGGCUCCAUGCUCAGCAUGGAGCCCUGUGCAGGACUUGAACUCACAACCCUGAGAUCAAGACCUGAGCUGAGAUCAAGAGUGUGAUGCUUAACCGACUGAGCCACCCAGGCACCCCAUGUAACCUCUACCCCCAAUAUGGGACUUGAACUCACUACUGUGAUAUUAAGAGUCUCAUGCUGUACUGUCUGAGCUAGCCAGAAACUCCUGAUGAUGUUAAUUUUGAUCAUUUGCUUAAGGUAGUAUCUGUCAAGUUUUUCUAUUGGUAAGUUACCAUUUUUCCCAUGAGGUAAUUAAUACCUCAACUAUGGGGAAAUACUUUAUGACUAUGUAAGUAUCUUAUUGCUCAUCAGAAUGUCACCCGAUUAUUUUAGCUUUCAUUAAUUCUUGCCUGAAUCAAUUAAUAUGAUAUUGGUUGUAAAUGGUAUAAAUGGUGAUGUUUCUCUAAUUUCUUCUCCAUUUUUAGAAGGCAUUCUAUCAAACUUUUAUUCUUAAUUUUAACUUUUAUGUAUAUA